CCUACGGGGGGCAGCAGUGGGGAAUAUUGCGCAAUGGGCGAAAGCCUGACGCAGCGACGCCGCGUGAGGGAUGAAGGUCUUCGGAUCGUAAACCUCUGUCAGCAGGGAAGAACGGUCACUGUGCUAAUCAGCAGUGAAUUGACGGUACCUGCAAAGGAAGCACCGGCUAAAUCCGUGCCAGCAGCCGCGGUAAUACGGAGGGUGCGAGCGUUAAUCGGAAUUACUGGGCGUAAGGCGCUCGUAGGCGGUAUGUCAAGUCAAGGGUGAAAUACCCGCGCUCACCGUGGGAACUGCCUUUGAAACUGGCAAAAUGGAGUGUGUGAGAGGAUAGUGGAAUUCCAGGUGUAGGAGUGACAUCCGUAGAUAUCUGGAGGAAAAUCAGUGGCGAAGGCGACUAUCUGGCACAUAACUGACGCUGAGGAGCGAAAGCGUGGGUAGCAAACAGGAUUAGAUACCCUAGUAGUC
rnacentral:rRNA from 1 species